rnacentral:rRNA from 1 species
GAUGAACGCUGGCGGCGUGCCUAAUACAUGCAAGUCGAGCGAACAGAUAAGGAGCUUGCUCCUUUGACGUUAGCGGCGGACGGGUGAGUAACACGUGGGUAACCUACCUAUAAGACUGGGAUAACUUCGGGAAACCGGAGCUAAUACCGGAUAACAUUUGGAACCGCAUGGUUCUAAAGUGAAAGAUGGUUUUGCUAUCACUUAUAGAUGGACCCGCGCCGUAUUAGAUAGUUGGUAAGGUAACGGCUUACCAAGGCAACGAUACGUAGCCGACCUGAGAGGGUGAUCGGCCACACGGGAACUGAGACACGGUCCAGACUCCUACGGGAGGCAGCAGUAGGGAAUCUUCCGCAAUGGGCGAAAGCCUGACGGAGCAACGCCGCGUGAGUGAUGAAGGGUUUCGGCUCGUAAAACUCUGUUAUUAGGGAAGAACAAAUGUGUAAGUAACUGUGCACGUCUUGACGGUACCUAAUCAGAAAGCCACGGCUAACUACGUG